UACGUAGGGUGCAAGCGUUGUCCGGAAUUAUUGGGCGUAAAGAGCUCGUAGGCGGUUUGUCGCGUCUGCUGUGAAAACCCGACGGCUCAACCUCGGGCCUGCAGUGGGUACGGGCAGACUAGAGUGCGGUAGGGGAGAAUGGAAUUCCUGGUGUAGCGGUGGAAUGCGCAGAUAUCAGGAGGAACACCGAUGGCGAAGGCAGUUCUCUGGGCCGUAACUGACGCUGAGGAGCGAAAGCGUGGGGAGCGAACAGG
rnacentral:rRNA from 1 species